UUUUUUUCUUUUUAAGGCUAUAUCCAUGGCAUAUGGAAGUUUCCAGACUAGGGGUUAAAUAGGAGCUCUAGCUCCCUGCCUAUGCCACAGUCACAGCAACACCAGAUCUGAGCCUUGUCUUCGAACUACACCACAGCUCCCAGCAAUGUUGGAUCCUUAACAUGUUAGGGAUUGGACAGGGAUGGAAACCCUAUCCUCAUGGACACUAGUCAGGUUUGUUAUUGCUGAGCCACAAUGGGAACUCCACCUGUGUCAUAUUUUAGAUUUCACAUAUAAGUGACAUCCACAGUAUUUGUCUCUUUUUGACUUACUUCUCAGUAUGAGAAUCUCUAUUUCCAUCAAUGUUGCCACAAAUGACAUUAUUUUGUUUUUUUUUAUAGUUGAGUUGUAUUUCACUAUAUGCAUGUAUCACAACAUCUUAAUCCAUUCAUCUAUCAAUGUACAUUUAGGUUAUUUCCAUGACUUAGCUAUUGUGAACAGCACUGCAAUGAACAUAUAGGUGUAUGUACCUUUUUCAAUGAAAGUUUUGUCCAGCUAUAUGCCCAGGAGUGGUAUUGCUGGAUCACAUGGUAGUUCUAUAUUGAGUUUUCUGAGGUACCUCCACAGUUUUCCAUAGUGGUUGUACCAGUUUACAUUCCCACCAACUAUAUGGGAGGGCUCCCUUUUCUCCAUACCCUUUCCAGCAUUUGUUAUUUGUAGACUUACUCAUGAUGGCCGUUCUGAAGUGGCACCUCAUUGCAGUUUUGAUUUGCAUUUCUCUAAUAAUUAGUAAUGUUGAAGAUUUUUUCAUGUGCCUGCUGGCCAUCCAUAUGUCUUAUUCGGAGAAAUGUCUGUUUAGGACUUCUGCCCACUUUUCAAUUGGGUUGUUUGUUUUUUGUUGUUGAGUGGUAUAGGUUGUUUAUAUAUUUUGCAGAAUUAGGCCUUUGUCGGUUGAAUUGUUUGCAAAGAUUUUCACCCAUUCUGUGGGUUGUCUUUUGUUUUUUUAAUGGCUUCCCUUGGUGCAAAAUCUUUUGAGUUUCAAUAGGUCCCUUGGGUUUAUUUUUAUUUUUAUUGUCAUUAUUCUAGGAGGUGAAUCAAAACAAGAUGUUGCUGUGAUUUAGGUCAAAUAGUGUUCUGCCUGUUUUCUUCUAGGAUUUUUAUAGUAUCUGGCCUUAUAUUUAGCUCUUUAAAUAAGGUUAAGAACAGAUUUGUCAAAUACUGCACUUAAAUAAUUAAUUAUAGCAAUAUUUAGACUUUUCAAAACUUGAGUUAGACUUAAUUGCCUAUAAUCACAAGCAGGCGUACUUUCUCUUCAAGAAAAGCUAAGGCAACAUUUCCUGUAUAAUAAUAAAUUUCUUAUAAGCAAAUUAAGAUAAACCAGAUUCACCCAGAUGAAUUAUCAUUUUAAUACUCUUUAAAAAUUUGCCUACAUUAAGUACCGUUUUUAAAAAAUGAACAAUAUAUAUUUUUUCAUUCAAUGAUAAAGUACACUUAACUAAAUUAGUUCAUUUAACUAUAUAAAUCUUUAAGAACCUAAACUGUAAUAUGAUGGCAUGCUUUUAAAUAAGAUUUUUUAAAUGCAUUAGGUAGUAGUAUUUAUGUUAUUUGCUAAUAAACAAAUUAUAAUAUGUCCUAUCAAAUAUGAGGACAUACUUGAUAUGCCCAUCCUCCAAUAAUAGUCCAUGUGUUCAUUUAACAUUUUAACAAUUUUUUUUAGAAUUUGUGUUUCUAUUUUUGUGUAUGUCCCUGUGUUUAUGUGAAUAAUCAUCUGAUGAGCUGAAUUUUAUGUGAGAUGUGUAUAUUUGUGUGUGUACAUGUUUAUGUGAACAUGAGAGGGAGUGGUUCUGUACAGACAUUAUAAGAGUUUUGUGGUUCAGAUGAUUGGUUACAUUUGAAUAUUAUUUUCAAUUAAUGUAGUUCAUAGCCAUUUAAAUAUUUAUUAAGAACUAGGUGAUGAUAAAUCUUCAUUAUCAAAUAUAGAAAAUAAAUUAUACAUCUUAGAGUUCUUAAUUUUUCUAGCAUGCCUUUUUUCUUUAUGUAUGGAAGCAUACAUUGUACUGUAGCUAUGUAGGCUAUAUUCUGUAUAUUAUGGAGGCUGGAUUAUUCUGAAGUUAAUGCAUUGAGACAUUAUGCCACCUGAAUUUCUCAGCUUUAGAGAUUCCUGUCUCUCAGUUUCAGUGUCAAGCUUCCAAUCCUAUUCACUUUAAUUUUUUCUUUUUAAAGUAAAAGAAGGUAUCUGAACCUUCCACUGAGUGAGAACAGCUUCACUUUAUGAAGUUGAAAGCUGUAGGAAAAAAUAAUAUUUUCUUAUGUUUUUAGAUCUUAGAGAUAAUUAUCUUCCAUUGAUUUAGUUUAACAUUAAUUGUAAGUAUUUUGUGUAGUUUAAAAAUACUCCUACUUAGGAGUGCCCAUCGUGGCUCAGUGGAAAUGAGUCUGACAAGUAAGUAUCCAAGAGGAUGCAGGUUAAAUCCCUAGCCUUUCUCAGUGGGUUAAGGAUCAGGCAUUGCUGUGAGCUGCCACAGCUCAGAUCUGGCAUUGCUGUGGCUGUGGUAUAGGCCAGAGGUGACAGCUCCGAUUCGACCCCUAGCCUGGGUAACUCUGGCCACAGGUGUGGUCCUAAAAAGACACACACACACACACAAACAAAACUACUACUACUCAAAAUAUAUGGGGAAGGGAAUGAUAAUUCCACUUAAAUCAUGUACAACUGAAAGUAAAAUCAUAUGUUAUUCUGAAAUCUUUACAUUUAACUGUAGCUUUUUAAUGAAAUUUGUUUGGAGGGCUUAAUAAUAUCUAUUUUUCCAAGUUAAAUAUUUUACAGAAUGAGUUUUCUCUGUAUAAUAUAUUCAAUAUAUUUAUUCAUUUUUAUUUUUUUCUUUUAAUGGCCACACCUGUGACACAUUUAAGUUCCUGAUCUAUGGGGUCAAAUCAGAGCUAUAGCUGCAGGCCUAUGCUAUAGCCUGUGGCAACAGUGGAUCCUUAACCCACUGAGAGAGGCCAGGGGUCAAACCUGCAUCAUCACUGACACUAUGUUGGGUUGACACCCCAAUAAGCCACACAAUCCCCAUAUGCUUAUUUUUAAUACUGCAAGUUGUGAAGGGAAUUUAUUUCAUACCAGUAUUAUAAAUGUAGAAGAAUUCCCUUGUGAAUGCAAAAGAGCUGGGUAUUAAAGAAUGGAAAAACUAAGCAACAACAAAAAUAAAUUUCCAGAAGAAAAUCAACCUUUGAUUUAAAGAAUCACAAAAUCUUGUACAACUUGGGAUCUUUAUUUCAGAACUAUACAAUGGAACUAAAAACAAAACUAUGACUAGGAAACAAGUAUAUUGUCAAACACUUAAAAUAUUUAUGCAGUAUGUAGAUGUGCAUGUUUUCAUUUGAAUAAGAAUUAAUUUCUUUAUUGAUAAAAAAGAUACAUUUCUUCUGGUUUCUUAAAACUAUGCUGUUUAUGUUGUAAGCAAACAUUUGAGUUUGAUUAUAUGG
rnacentral:lncRNA from 1 species